rnacentral:rRNA from 1 species
GCUGUGAUGGGGAGAGGAACUUGUUCCUCGAGUCGUUGAUUUCACACUGCCGAGAAAAGCCUCUAGCUAGAAUAACGGUGCCCGUACCGCAAACCGACACAGGUAGUCAAGAUGAGAAUUCUAAGGUGAGCGAGCGAACUCUCGUUAAGGAACUCGGCAAAAUGACCCCGUAACUUCGGGAGAAGGGGUGCUCUUUGAGGUUCACGCUUCGAAGAGCCGCAGUGAAUAGGCCCAAGCGACUGUUUAUCAAAAACACAGGUCUCUGCUAAACCGUAAGGUGACGUAUAGGGGCUGACGCCUGCCCGGUGCUGGAAGGUUAAGAGGAGUGGUUAGCGCAAGCGAAGCUACGAAUCGAAGCCCCAGUAAACGGCGGCCGUAACUAUAACGGUCCUAAGGUAGCGAAAUUCCUUGUCGGGUAAGUUCCGACCCGCACGAAAGGCGUAACGAUUUGGGCACUGUCUCAACGAGAGACUCGGUGAAAUCAUAGUACCGGUGAAGAUGCCGGUUACCCGCGACAGGACGGAAAGACCCCGUGGAGCUUUACUGUAGCCUGAUAUUGAAAUUCGGUACAGUUUGUACAGGAUAGGUAGGAGCCUUAGAAGCGUGAGCGCUAGCUUACGUGGAGGCAUUGGUGGGAUACUACCCUAAUUGUAUUGGAUUUCUAACCCGCAGCACUUAUCGUGCUGGGAGACAGUGUCAGGCGGGCAGUUUGACUGGGGCGGUCGCCUCCUAAAGAGUAACGGAGGCGCUCAAAGGUUCCCUCAGAAUGGUUGGAAAUCAUUCAUAGAGUGUAAAGGCAUAAGGGAGCUUGACUGCGAGACCUACAAGUCGAGCAGGGUCGAAAGACGGACUUAGUGAUCCGGUGGUUCCGCAUGGAAGGGCCAUCGCUCAACGGAUAAAAGCUACCCCGGGGAUAACAGGCUUAUCUCCCCCAAGAGUUCACAUCGACGGGGAGGUUUGGCACCUCGAUGUCGGCUCAUCGCAUCCUGGGGCUGUAGUCGGUCCCAAGGGUUGGGCUGUUCGCCCAUUAAAGCGGUACGCGAGCUGGGUUCAGAACGUCGUGAGACAGUUCGGUCCCUAUCCGUCGUGGGCGUAGGAAAUUUGAGAGGAGCUGUCCUUAGUACGAGAGGACCGGGAUGGACAUACCUCUGGUGUACCAGUUGUCGUGCCAACGGCAUAGCUGGGUAGCUAUGUAUGGACGGGAUAAGUGCUGAAAGCAUCUAAGCAUGAAGCCCCCCUCGAGAUGAGAUUUCCCAACUUCGGUUAUAAGAUCCCUCAAAGAUGAUGAGGUGAAUAGGUUCGAGGUGGAAGCGUAGCGAUACGUGGAGCUGACGAAUACUA